CGGAGAUGCGGCGGCCCCACCGAACCCGCUUCGGAUGCGGCUCAGAGCCUGUUUGAGCGGAUCGAGCCGGUGUUCACGCCGCUGAUCCCCUCC
rnacentral:tRNA from 1 species